rnacentral:lncRNA from 1 species
ACAAAUUCAGCAAGGCCUUCCACUCAGUCCUUUCCAAAUCACCCCAAUCUGGAUUUCUGUCUUCAGGUCAGAUCCGGUCUUGGUGCGGACACCAGAGCCAUCAAAAAUCGGCAACAUGAUUUAAGUUCGAUUUGGAUUGAAGAAGCCUCAUUAAAUUGAUUCUACUUCAGUUAUUUAUUUUCAGUCAAUAAAUUUUAAUGCAUUUGGCUUUGGGUCCAUAGG